rnacentral:rRNA from 1 species
GACGAGCCACCCAAACGUUAUUCGGAAUUACUGGGCUUAAAGGGUGCGUAGGCGGUGCAGCAAGUCGGGAGUGAAAUACCUCAGCUUAACUGAGGAACUGCUUUCGAUACUGCUGUGCUUGAGUGAGACAGAGGUAAGCGGAACUUAGGGUGGAGCGGUGAAAUGCGUUGAUAUCCUAAGGAACACCGGUGGCGAAGGCGGCUUACUGGGUCUCUACUGACGCUGAGGCACGAAAGCCAGGGUAGCAAACGGGAUUAGAUACCCCCGUAGUCC